GCUCUCCGCCUGGGGAGUACAGUCGCAAGACUGAAACUCAAAGGAAUUGUCGGGGGCCCGCACAAGCGGUGGAGCAUGUGGUGUCAUUCGAAGCAACGCGAAGAACCUUACCAGGUCUUGACAUCCUCUGACAAUCCUAGAGAUAGGACGUCCCCUUCGGGGGCAGAGUGACAGGUGGUGCAUGGUUGUCGUCAGCUCGUGUCGUGAGAUGUUGGGUUAAGUCCCGCAACGAGCGCAACCCUUGAUCUUAGUUGCCAGCAUUCAGUUGGGCACUCUAAGGUGACUGCCGGUGACAAACCGGAGGAAGGUGGGGAUGACGUCAAAUCAUCAUGCCCCUUAUGACCUGGGCUACACACGUGCUACAAUGGACAGAACAAAGGGCAGCGAAACCGCGAGGUUAAGCCAAUCCCACAAAUCUGUUCUCAGUUCGGAUCGCAGUCUGCAACUCGACUGCGUGAAGCUGGAAUCGCUAGUAAUCGCGGAUCAGCAUGCCGCGGUGAAUACGUUCCCGGGCCUUGUACACACCGCCCGUCACACCACGAGAGUUUGUAACACCCGAAGUCGGUGAGGUAACCUUUUAGGAGCCAGCCGCCGAA
rnacentral:rRNA from 1 species